UCUAAGUGUAGUUGUGGGUUUCUAUGUCCAACGUUUGACGAUCCGCCUUAUUUGAAUUUUUUUAUGAUUAAUAAUAAUAUUAUUAUUAUUAUUAGAUAAUAAACAUUAAUAGUAUUUUAUAUAUAACUUAUCUUUUUAAUUUUUUCAAAUAAGACGGGACGGCAGUCAAACGUUGGACAUAAACCCCCCACAACCGCACUUAAA
rfam:Oryza glaberrima chromosome 12 Oglab12_0251_1, whole genome shotgun sequence.